rnacentral:rRNA from 1 species
GAUGAACGCUGGCGGCGUGCCUAAUACAUGCAAGUCGAGCGAACAGACGAGGAGCUUGCUCCUCUGACGUUAGCGGCGGACGGGUGAGUAACACGUGGAUAACCUACCUAUAAGACUGGGAUAACUUCGGGAAACCGGAGCUAAUACCGGAUAAUAUAUUGAACCGCAUGGUUCAAUAGUGAAAGACGGUUUUGCUGUCACUUAUAGAUGGAUCCGCGCCGCAUUAGCUAGUUGGUAAGGUAACGGCUUACCAAGGCAACGACGCGUAGCCGACCUGAGAGGGUGAUCGGCCACACUGGAACCGAGACACGGUCCAGACUCCUACGGGAGGCAGCAGUAGGGAAUCUUCCGCAAUGGGCGAAAGCUUGACGGAGCAACGCCGCGUGAGUGAUGAAGGUCUUCGGAUCGUAAAACUCUGUUAUUAGGGAAGAACAAAUGUGUAAGUAACUAUGCACGUCUUGACGGUACCUAAUCAGAAAGCCACGGCUAACUACGUG